CGUCAUGACGCAAAAUAUCGGUGUUUAUGUUUACUUUUAUGUUAAUGUGAACAGGUGUGUGGAUGAUGUCUCAGACUCCGUGCUAGUCAGAACCGGCAGGAUUCUCAUGCGACAGAACUUCUGGACCAGCUGGAGAUAUGUUCUACUUGAAGUGAGACGUGAAGUUUCAGUCGUUCAGCGUUAAUUGUUUAUGCUAGCUCGUUAGCCUGCUAGUGUUUGUUGUUAGCAUCCAUUAGCAAAGUGAAUGGGCUCGUUAGCAACUGUUUAGCGAACUCGGCUGACGCUAAAUGCGUUCGUUCAUCGUUUUUCGACAUGAAAACUGAAGAUAUAUCACAGACUGAUACGAACUGACACUGAACCAACGCUUGGUGGUGAUGGACGGCGCCGGAGGAGCGACGCUGUCGUUGGACGUUUGUCCGCCAUCUUGUUCUACAUGGAGACUGGUCAGAGCUGCUUCUCUGGACACCUGCCGGCCUGCAGACUGGACUCAGAUCGCUUUAACAAGGUGCGUGAUGGGCAGCAGGUUGUGGUUACUGAGGCCGCAGCCGAUUCCAGGCUGGGAGUAGAGCAGUCCGCUGGGGUUACUGCCGGGGAGGGACACGCCCAUGUCGUAGUUGGAGGGAGGCAGACCCUGCUGGACAGAUCAGGAGCUGGUUAACAUCACUGAGAAGUCAACAGGAUGUUGAAUCAACCAGUUAGCUUGCCUGAGACGUCACGACUGAGCUUUGCAGAGAUUUGGGAAGUGUGUGUCGGCUCGUCUGUCAGCACCUGUGACCUGUAGUUACCCAUAAGCCCCAGGAGGUGUUUACCUGUAUCCUCAGAGAAGAGCAAUCCUUCAGGAGAAGAGAUGAGACAGAAACGAUGUCCAGAACUACAGAGUUUUUCCUCUGAGGCACUUCCACAUUUGCUCCAGAUGUCAGUCGUUGCGCCGGCUGCUCACACAUCAUGUGUGUGUGACUAAUGAUGAAUGUUUGAGCACGUGGGAACACCAGUAAACCACUUUCUUUCUGGACAAUAAGCCCCUCUGAACUGACACUUCAACCUCAGCGCUGCACAUAACCUGGUCCGACCUCUCCGCUCUCGGACCCGUCAACGUUCAGACACUUUGGCCCUUCAUCAACGCGAGGAGGAGGAGGAGGAGGAGGAGGAGGAAGUUUUAAAAAAUGUUGUGUUUUCUAUUAGCAGUCGACAAACCUCCUGUUAAUCUCUGGAGGCCAUCAGCCACAACAUAAGAAGAGAAGAAGAGCGCACGCAGACAUUAGUUCUGCUAAUAAAAGUGGACAUGUGCAGGACUAUCGGUGCAUGCAGUGUGUGUGUGUGUGUGUGUGUGUGUGUGUGUGCCAUGUGACCCGCGUCUUGCUCCUGAAGUGGAGCUUAAGAGCUCCGGGUCGCCGAGUUAACUGGAUGUUCACACACGCUGAGACAGACACACACCGACACAAACCAAACACAAACACACACGACAGGUUUUCUUGGCAGCUCUCCGACGUCAUCACAGCGGGGCGAAGGAGAAAAGAAAAAAAAAAAAAAAAGGCGUGCUUGCGUUUCAGGAGGUGGCAGCCCUCGGGCUCGCAGGAUGAAAUGGAGAGUGAAAUUGGGAUUUGUUGAAGACGUAAUGAGAUGACGCGGCGUGCCGCUCUCGGAACAAGAAUGCAGAGAAUGACGCCGGCGCUGCUUUUAAGUCAACACGGUCGUUAAGAAUGUGGCUGAGUCGCUUCACCCCCCUCAUCGCUGUUAUGACAUCAUAAAGAUAUUUUUGAUUAAAUCUGACAGAAGCCGGAUAACAACUAUUAUUAAAUGGGUUAAAAGCAUGUUUACAUAUGCGUCACAAACUGUAAUACCCCUCCAUAACCAGCAGGAGAAUCACUUACGACAUAAGUUUUAAUAAAUACAUCAGUCUCCCGGUAACCGGAUACUGCUGUCAUUCUGACGACGAGUAUGACGAGGAAGUGUGUAGAAGAAGAAAAAACAUCACGAGUACCGUACGAGUCCCACAGGGGCAUCUGACCAAAGCGUCCACAACAGCCAAACAGGUGCAGUGAUUCAAAAGAGGUCAAUGGACCGUUAAAGGUCGCACCAACGGAAAUAGGUCCAACGUAGGCGUACGUUCCAACUUAAAAUCUUACACCUUCCCCUCAGUAGCUGCUCGGUAACAGAGCGUCGAUAUAUUAACAUGAAUAUAUGUUGUGGCCGAUGGUUUAUUGGGCACGAGAGACAACACACUAACAAACACUGCGGUAAGAAUAGUGCUUUUGAACGAUCAGCCACAGGAAGUGAAAAUAUCAUUUUCCACGGUUAUAUGUUGGUUAGUUUGGACGUCACACACGAGUAGUUUAGAUGAACAUAACGUGUCUGCGGUGCGACCAGACAACGACACAAGUUUAAAUCCCUGCAAAUCCCUGAGCGUCAGUGUUCGACUACUUGGGAAUGACACUUUCUCACCAACAGCAGUAAUUUAAAGUAAUUUAAAGUACAUUUUCAGCUCCUCAACUGUAAGAAUUUUGCAGCUUUUCUCUGUUUUAUGUAACUAUGGAUUAAGUCUUAUUCUUAGACUGUUGUUAGGACAAAACAAACAAUCUGAAGAUGUCAUUUGGAUUCUGGAGACUCUUUUCUUGAUGAACCGAUUAGUUUUGUGUUCUUUAUAAUAUUAGAAAAUCAUUAAAAAAUGUCAGAAAGUUUCCUGAAGGCUGAAGUUUACGUCCUUGAAUGUCUUUUUUUUGUCCUGUGAUAUUAAGUUUACUGUCAGAAAGGAUGAAACAAACUUCACAUUUUUCACAUUUAAGUUUAAAUUUUGAUUGGCUGGUCAUCAAAAUGCGUGUCGACUAAUUCAAUAGUUGACAACUCAUUGAUUUAAUCAAUGCAGCUCUACUAAACAGAUCAAUAAAAGAUGAUAAUGAUUAGUCACAGCUCCUAAUAAACUGCCCUGUUUAAUUUCCAGCCCUUCUGUUUUCCCCUGCGCCUUGUUUUCCUACAGUAGGAACGGAUACCAAGUGACAGCUCCUGUCGUGAACUCAUAAUUGAUGUGUUUUACCAAAACAAACACUUUGAUAAAGCGCAGCGCUGUGAUACUAUCAAAAAUCAUCUGCGGCGAGCAGCGACACGCCAGCCGGAGAGUAUUACAUGAAUAUCUAGUGUCUGAGUCACGCUGCCUGUGAGCCUACCUCGCUUCAGGAAAACAGAACAAGGAUCAACACGGUUUAAAUUUAGAGCGCUCACAGACGAGCACACUCAGCAUGUUGUCGUAAAAAAGGGAAUUUUAGGCCAAACUGAGACGUGAGAUGUUGAGGGAACAUUUCAUGAAACAGUAAGAAUCGGUACGUGGGGGUGUGUGUGUGUGUGUGCGCGCUGUUAUCUGUAGGUGUGAUUUAAUGCGGAGUUUGAUC